GCCUAGUUAGCUUAGUUGAUAGUGCGUCUGCCUUGUAAGCGCUAGGCCGCGGAUUCGAUUCCCGCCCGGGGCG
rnacentral:tRNA from 1 species